rnacentral:tRNA from 1 species
GUAGCGCAGUUUGGUAGCGCACAUGGUUUGGGACCAUGGGGCCGGGGGUUCGAGUCCCUUC